UUUGCAGAAAUGGUUCAAGUGAGCGUGUAUUUUGCUCAUUUUACAAAUAUAAAAUGAUUUUUGGGCUUUUAUAAAAGGAAAUGAGUUUAGGGUUUUUAAGUCCCGUUUCUUUUGUUUGAUGAAGGCGUAUGAACCCAAGGCAGCAAAGGAGCGGAAGCGUCAUUCCUAGUGCAGGAGAAAUCGAGCACCAACUUCGAUUUGGAGAGUUUCGACCCUUGGUUCCUUGCUCGUCGCAAGCCAAAAACGGGACCGAGGGGGGUAUCUGCGAAUUCAGAUCGCGUGGAGGGAGGAGUCUCCGGGUCGGCUAGAGCGAAGGAAGAAGAAGAAUGAAGCAGCAACCUGCUGGGUGAAGCUGUGAGGAGGUGAGCGCCUCCGACGUUCGAAUGGUCCGAAGAAAAGAGAAGGGACGAAGCAGCGAGGCUGCUCUCCUUCUCCGAUGAUGAGGUGUGAAGGGGGGAAAGGGAGGCCAGAAGGGGUUCGUCGGUCUUGGUAGGUGCAACAAGGGCUGCCCAAGCAGUUCCCGGCUGCUUCUCGUUCGAUUCUGGUAGCAUAUGCGAAGCGGAGGAGGACAUUUGGCCCUCUGGAGCAAGGCAAGCGGAAACAGCAGCUUCGGUGGGGGUUUUCGCAGUAGUGCUCGAUAGAAGAAGAAGAAUGAAGCUGCGGUGGUCUUCGGUGGGUGCAGAUGGGAGUUGUAGGGCGGCAGUGUGUCGUCUCGGGUGGUGGCUGUCGGCGUUUCCGACUGCUUUUUCGGGGUGUACAUGAGAUCUAGAACAAAGUGUUCUUGGCUGAAAAAGAAAGGUGUAGGCAGAAGGGUCGAUCAAAGAGGGGUGUUUGUUUGACAGUAAUUGAUGAAUGGAAUGGACGAUUGUGUUGUUUGAUUUUAUCUAUAUCAGUCUGUAGUUGAGUUUUAGUGUUCUUUUUAGCAUUGUACAGGUUUUGUUUGAGUGUAGAUUUGGGUUGAAGAAA